GAGGGUAUAGUUCAAGAGGUAGAGUGCAUGCCUAGUGUGCACAAGGUCCUGGGUUCAGUCCCCAGUACCUCUA
rnacentral:tRNA from 1 species